CAAAUGAUAACACAGCCUGAGUAAUUUUUUUUUGUCUUAUUUCAGUUCCAGACAUAUCAUUACUUUUUAACCUGAGAUGGCAAACUAGAGGUUUUAAAAAGUCCUGAAUAACUGGUAAGCAUUUUGUUUUGUUAGGCAAGCUCUAAAUUGUUUAUUUAUGGUAUUUAUGCAAUUGAAAUUACAGUCGGUAUGUUAAAAAUAUGCAAAUAUGAAAACUGUUGCUAUGGUCUUGAUAUUGAAUGGAAAGGCUUAGUUACAGAUCGUUUCGACUCAAUAUUUCGAGUUAAAUCUUGCGGCAACUGUUUUCUCACGUAACACUGCAAACUAUAUUUAGCACUAUUUUGAUCUGUCGUUAUUUAAUGACGCCAUAAUACAUGUGAUGUCACAAUGUUUCCUUUAAAACCUCAUGUGGAUUUCUCACUGAUAAAAGGUUUUCACUGAAAUACAUGUUAAAAACAUUUUUUUCUCAAAUAGAAUUAUGUGAAAGGACAAGUUUUGAAAAUUUGCACUAUAUUGCACUCUAAUUAUAUGAUAAGGAUGACUUUCCCAGUAGUUUAGAGUGCUUUCCACAGUUUUAAAUACCAGAUUUCCACUAGUAAGAAUAAUUAUUUUGGUGUUGGUUUUUUUUAUAAAAUCUUCAUUUUUGCAUAAUUUCUCUGUCCAAAAUGCACUUUAAGGCACAAGAAAAUUUUAUAGAAUGCUUUAACAGGGUCUGUGUAUUGUAAUUAAAGGUUAUAAUCAGAAGUUUUGUCCUUGUUUUGACUAGUGAAGGUAUUCUGGAAGAAAAUUAAUUAUACAUACACAUUGUAUUCAAAAUAAAUGAAUAUAGCGACGAAAGUGUCAUUGCCUUAUAGUGCUAAAACAACUUUAUUUUUUUUCAGAAAUGGACAAAAAUACACAGAUUUAUUCAGAAUGUUAUACCGAUGAAGAUCACAUAAAAAUAUUUGGAAAAAUCAGAAGUAUUGAUUUCAAUAUGGGUCAGGAUCCCUAAUAGACCUUGAGAUGAGGAACUCAGAUGACGUAAUUAAAAAAAAUAUUAGUCCGCCAUACAAUUGUGGAUGCUGUGAUUUUAAAAAUGGACAUAAAUGAACAAUAAGAACUGUUUUAUAGAGCUGAUGUGAUGAGAAAAGAAAGAUGUAGAUUUGACCUGAAAUAAAUUAUUAGAAAGGACAAUUUUUUUAUUGAAUUUUAUGAUCAGAAUUUUGGGAUUAUUUCAUGAGGAGAGUGACAUUUUUCACCAUCUUCCGGGGUCCAGCAAUUUGCGAAAAAAAGUAAUCUCACUUGCCACCCCGAAAAUUUAACCAGACAUGUAUAAAUGUAUCAGCUUCGAUAUGAGCCAUCAUACAUGUUCAAGUAAACGAUAUGGACUGAGCAACGGAGGAAAACGUUACCAUUACG
rnacentral:lncRNA from 1 species